rnacentral:sRNA from 1 species
GAGCGUUAAAGUCACCAAGGACCACCA